GGGUUGUGAGGUUAAGCGACUAAGCGUACACGGUGGAUGCCCUGGCAGUCAGAGGCGAUGAAGGGCGUGCUAAUCUGCGAUAAGCGCCGGUAAGGUGAUAUGAACCGUUAUAACCGGCGAUACCCGAAUGGGGAAACCCAGUGUGACUCGUCACACUAUCAUUAACUGAAUCCAUAGGUUAAUGAGGCGAACCGGGGGAACUGAAACAUCUAAGUACCCCGAGGAAAAGAAAUCAACCGAGAUUCCCCCAGUAGCGGCGAGCGAACGGGGAGGAGCCCAGAGCCUGAAUCAGCAUGUGUGUUAGUGGAAGCGUCUGGAAAGGCGCGCGAUACAGGGUGACAGCCCCGUACACAAAAGCGCAUGUGCUGUGAGCUCGAUGAGUAGGGCGGGACACGUGGUAUCCUGUCUGAAUAUGGGGGGACCAUCCUCCAAGGCUAAAUACUCCUGACUGACCGAUAGUGAACCAGUACCGUGAGGGAAAGGCGAAAAGAACCCCGGCGAGGGGAGUGAAAAAGAACCUGAAACCGUGUACGUACAAGCAGUGGGAGCCCCACCACUAAGCCAGUGGUGAACUCCACAUACGCAUCCUUUGCUGAGGAUACGGUUAACGGAGCGAAAGCGACGUUCAACCUCAAAAGAAGCAGAGGGGGCUUAGUGGUGGGGUGACUGCGUACCUUUUGUAUAAUGGGUCAGCGACUUAUAUUCUGUAGCAAGGUUAACCGAAUAGGGGAGCCGGAGGGAAACCGAGUCUUAAUUGGGCGUUAAGUUGCAGGGUAUAGACCCGAAACCCGGUGAUCUAGCCAUGGGCAGGUUGAAGGUUGGGUAACACUAACUGGAGGACCGAACCGACUAAUGUUGAAAAAUUAGCGGAUGACCUGUGGCUGGGGGUGAAAGGCCAAUCAAACCGGGAGAUAGCUGGUUCUCCCCGAAAGCUAUUUAGGUAGCGCCUCGUGAACUCAUCUCCGGGGGUAGAGCACUGUUUCGGCUAGGGGGCCAUCCCGGCUUACCAACCCGAUGCAAACUGCGAAUACCGGAGAAUGUUAUCACGGGAGACACACGGCGGGUGCUAACGUCCGUCGUGAAGAGGGAAACAACCCAGACCGCCAGCUAAGGUCCCAAAGUCAUGGUUAAGUGGGAAACGAUGUGGGAAGGCCCAGACAGCCAGGAUGUUGGCUUAGAAGCAGCCAUCAUUUAAAGAAAGCGUAAUAGCUCACUGGUCGAGUCGGCCUGCGCGGAAGAUGUAACGGGGCUAAACCAUGCACCGAAGCUGCGGCAGCGACGCUGAUGCGUUGUUGGGUAGGGGAGCGUUCUGUAAGCCUGCGAAGGUGGCCUGUGAGGGUUGCUGGAGGUAUCAGAAGUGCGAAUGCUGACAUAAGUAACGAUAAAGCGGGUGAAAAGCCCGCUCGCCGGAAGACCAAGGGUUCCUGUCCAACGUUAAUCGGGGCAGGGUGAGUCGACCCCUAAGGCGAGGCCGAAAGGCGUAGUCGAUGGGAAACGGGUUAAUAUUCCCGUACUUGGUGUUACUGCGAAGGGGGGACGGAGAAGGCUAUGUUGGCCGGGCGACGGUUGUCCCGGUUUAAGCGUGUAGGUGUGUGUUCCAGGUAAAUCCGGUUCACUUUAACACUGAGGCGUGAUGACGAGGCACUACGGUGCUGAAGCAACAAAUGCCCUGCUUCCAGGAAAAGCCUCUAAGCAUCAGGUAACAUCAAAUCGUACCCCAAACCGACACAGGUGGUCAGGUAGAGAAUACCAAGGCGCUUGAGAGAACUCGGGUGAAGGAACUAGGCAAAAUGGUGCCGUAACUUCGGGAGAAGGCACGCUGACACGUAGGUGAAGUGAUUUACUCAUGGAGCUGAAGUCAGUCGAAGAUACCAGCUGGCUGCAACUGUUUAUUAAAAACACAGCACUGUGCAAACACGAAAGUGGACGUAUACGGUGUGACGCCUGCCCGGUGCCGGAAGGUUAAUUGAUGGGGUCAGCGCAAGCGAAGCUCCUGAUCGAAGCCCCGGUAAACGGCGGCCGUAACUAUAACGGUCCUAAGGUAGCGAAAUUCCUUGUCGGGUAAGUUCCGACCUGCACGAAUGGCGUAAUGAUGGCCAGGCUGUCUCCACCCGAGACUCAGUGAAAUUGAACUCGCUGUGAAGAUGCAGUGUACCCGCGGCAAGACGGAAAGACCCCGUGAACCUUUACUAUAGCUUGACACUGAACAUUGAGCCUUGAUGUGUAGGAUAGGUGGGAGGCUUUGAAGUGUGGACGCCAGUCUGCAUGGAGCCGACCUUGAAAUACCACCCUUUAAUGUUUGAUGUUCUAACGUGGACCCGUUACCCGGGUUGCGGACAGUGUCUGGUGGGUAGUUUGACUGGGGCGGUCUCCUCCUAAAGAGUAACGGAGGAGCACGAAGGUUGGCUAAUCCUGGUCGGACAUCAGGAGGUUAGUGCAAUGGCAUAAGCCAGCUUGACUGCGAGCGUGACGGCGCGAGCAGGUGCGAAAGCAGGUCAUAGUGAUCCGGUGGUUCUGAAUGGAAGGGCCAUCGCUCAACGGAUAAAAGGUACUCCGGGGAUAACAGGCUGAUACCGCCCAAGAGUUCAUAUCGACGGCGGUGUUUGGCACCGCGAUGACGGCUCAUCACAUCCUGGGGCUGAAGUAGGUCCCAAGGGUAUGGCUGUUCGCCACUUAAAGUGGUACGCGAGCUGGGGUUAGAACGUCGUGAGACAGUUCGGUCCCUAUCUGCCGUGGGCGCUGGAGAACUGAGGGGGGCUGCUCCUAGUACGAGAGGACCGGAGUGGACGCAUCACUGGUGUUCGGGUUGUCAUGCCAAUGGCACUGCCCGGUAGCUAAAUGCGGAAGAGAUAAGUGCUGAAAGCAUCUAAGCACGAAACUUGCCCCGAGAUGAGUUCUCCCUGAGACUUUAAGUCUCCUGAAGGAACGUUGAAGACGACGACGUUGAUAGGCCGGGUGUGUAAGCGCAGCGAUGCGUUGAGCUAACCGGUACUAAUGAACCGUGAGGCUUAACCUUACAACGCCGAAG
rnacentral:rRNA from 1 species